UACGGAGGGUGCAAGCGUUAUUCGGAAUUACUGGGCGUAAAGCGCACGCAGGCGGCUGAGUCAGUCGAUUGUGAAAGCCCUGGGCUUAACCUGGGAAUUGCAGUCGAUACUACUCAGCUAGAGUAUGGGAGAGGGCAGUGGAAUUCCCGGUGUAGCGGUGAAAUGCGUAGAUAUCGGGAGGAACAUCAGUGGCGAAGGCGGCUGCCUGGCCCAAUACUGACGCUCAGGUGCGACAGCGUGGGGAGCAAACAGG
rnacentral:rRNA from 1 species